rnacentral:rRNA from 1 species
GACGAACGCUGGCGGCGUGCCUAAUACAUGCAAGUAGAACGCACAGUUUAUACCGUAGCUUGCUACACCAUAGACUGUGAGUUGCGAACGGGUGAGUAACGCUUAGGUAACCUGCCUGGUAGCGGGGGAUAACUAUUGGAAACGAUAGCUAAUACCGCAUAAUAUUAAUUAUUGCAUGAUAAUUAAUUGAAAGGUGCAAUUGCACCACUACCAGAUGGACCUGCGUUGUAUUAGCUAGUAGGUGAGGUAACGGCUCACCUAGGCGACGAUACAUAGCCGACCUGAGAGGGUGAUCGGCCACACUGGGACUGAGACACGGCCCAGACUCCUACGGGAGGCAGCAGUAGGGAAUCUUCGGCAAUGGACGAAAGUCUGACCGAGCAACGCCGCGUGAGUGAAGAAGGGUUUCGGAUCGUAAAGCUCUGUUGUAAGAGAAGAACGGGUGUGAGAGUGGAAAGUUCACACUGUGACGGUAUCUUACCAGAAAGGGACGGCUAACUACGUG